rnacentral:rRNA from 1 species
UACGUAGGAGGCAAGCGUUGUCCGGAAUUACUGGGCGUAAAGCGCGUGUAGGUGGUGGGACAAGUCUGCUGUGAAAGCGCCUGGCUUAACCGGGCGAGGUCGGCGGAAACUGUUCGACUUGAGGACGGUAGAGGGGGUGGAAUUCCCGGUGUAGUGGUGAAAUGCGUAGAGAUCGGGAGGAACACCUGUGGCGAAGGCGGGUCUCUGGACAGUUCCUGACACUGAGGCACGAAGGCCAGGGGAGCAAACGGG